GACGAACGCUGGCGGCGUGCUUAACACAUGCAAGUCGAACGGAAAGGCCCUGCUUUUGUGGGGUGCUCGAGUGGCGAACGGGUGAGUAACACGUGAGUAACCUGCCCUUGACUUUGGGAUAACUUCAGGAAACUGGGGCUAAUACCGGAUAGGAGCUCCUGCUGCAUGGUGGGGGUUGGAAAGUUUCGGCGGUUGGGGAUGGACUCGCGGCUUAUCAGCUUGUUGGUGGGGUAGUGGCUUACCAAGGAUUUGACGGGUAGCCGGCCUGGGAGGGUGACCGGGACCAUAGGGAUGAGGGAGCGGCCAGGGCGCAAUCGGGGACGAGGGGGGGAGAAUAUUGCCAAACGGGCGGAGGCGUGGAGGAAGAACGGCGGGUGGGAAAGGGCGGCCUUCGGGUAGGAAAAGGAUUUCGCAUGUGACGAGGCGUGGGGGAGGGUACUGAGGAAAGAAGAACGGGCUAACUAGGG
rnacentral:rRNA from 1 species